GGACAGGAGCUACAUCUGCCCAGUGGAGGCACACAUUGUCUUCCAAAUGCUGAGCACCAGGACCUGCAAAGGAUGUGGUUCAGAAUCGAUAAGGGAUGAGGACUUCAUGAACCUGUCCUUGGACCUGGUGCAAGGAGGCUCUGUGAGCCAGUGCCUGCAGGAGUGCCUGAAAGAGACCAACCUUGAAUUCCACUGUGAGUGUAACGCCAAGGAGUCAACCC